AUUUUAGAAAUGGAGAAAACAAGACUCGGAAGCUAAAUGACUAGUCCAGGACGAUACAGAUAAGGAAACUGAGGCCCAGAGAGGCAGAGCCUUGACAUAUAUUUAGCCUGAUAACCACUGAGAAAGGGAAAGACAGCCUACAUUCAAUUCGGAAAAUGAUUGGAUCAGAGGUUCGAUGAUACGUUUUCAGCGAGUAGCCGAUCAAGAGGAUGGUGAUCGAAAUAUCUGUGACAGUAUCAGCAAGGAGCCAGUCCCUUGCUGGUUCACUAAAGCCAUAAUCCCAGUAACGACGAUUUCUUCUUGUAACAAAGAAGACGGUAAAAUCAAAGGGGAAAUAUUCAAAGUGGAAUGAAAGGAAUUGGCACUAGAAAAGACGAUGUGGUGACUGGAGAAAAACAGGAAAAGAUUUUAGAAGUUCUCCAUUGUGGGGGGACUCUACAAUCACUGGCUUUGUCUCUUAUCCAGUUUCCUUCCCUAUUGUACUAACCCUGUGCUUCCUGGAUGUCUGCUGGAAACCAGCAGAAAGAGGAAAGGUUUCCACAUGCUAAUAUGUAAAUCCAAGCAGCCUGUGGAGCAACCAGUGACUCAGUAAUGCUCAAAAGCAAGGUCAGAGGCAAAGCAAACCUUGCCUUCCCCCAGAUGCUUGGUGACUGUGUUCUAGUAAUCCACCCUGAAAGUUAGUACCUGAGGGCAAGUAUGCGGCAGAGAACAGCUGGCACAGAAACACCUCAGUUCGUGCAGCGGAAAAGACAGAGGGUCAGAAGUUCUAAAUCUUGGACACCACUCUACCAGCAACGAGCUCUGAUUUUGGACAGGUUCUUCAUCCUCUCCCUUUAUAGAAUGAAGACGUUGAACACGACUAAGCUCCCUUGCCCAUCUUCCCUUGCCCAUCUCUCCCCCCAACUCUACCUAGCACAGCCCUAACCCUCAAUCAACCCAACUCUUCUAAUCUUUGUGUCGCCGCCCCCAGGCAGCUGAGAAGCACACGAGAAAGUGCCGCAAUUGAGAAGGUGGCUGCCACCCCAGAUCCAGAGCGAGCAGCCUCCACCUUCAUGCAGCAAAGGUCCUCCCUCAGUUUAGAGAGAAUAGAGAACCCCUCGGGUCCCUGCCUUCUGCCUGCUCUGCAGACUCACUGCGGCCACAAGUGAUCUCCUCUUCCCAUCUCAGUAGAAGAGGGAUCUUUCCCUGGACGAUGCUCCACUGAUUAGCAUUUCUAUGAGAUAUAACUUUCUUCCAUUUUACUGAGGAUUUCUUCAGCAUAAAAUGCUUAAAUAAUCUAUUAUUAUUAUUAUUAUUAUUUUGCGGUAGUACGCGGGCCUCUCACUGUCGUGGCCUCUCCCGUUGCGGAGCUCAGGCUCCGGACGCGCAGGCUCAGCGGCCAUGGCUCACGGGCCCAGCCGCUCCGCGGCAUGUGGGAUCUUCCCGGAUCGGGGCACGAACCCGUGUCCCCUGCAUCGGCAGGCGGACUCUCCGCCACUGCGCCACCAGGGAAGCCCCUAUAAUCUAUUAUUUUUUAAAAACCCUCCCUUGUGUGUCCUGAGGGCCGUUUCCUUUCUUGAGUUAAGCUCUUUGAAAGGGUGGUCUGUGACAGUCAUGCCCACUUUAUUUCAAUUCCCUCCUUCAUUCACUUUUACCCGGCUUCUGCCCCGGCCGCCCCAAGUGAACACCCCUCUCCAAAUUAUCACCUGCCUUAUUGCUAAAGCCAGAGGACAUGUUCUAGUCUUCAUGCCUAAUAGCACUUGCACUGAAAUGUCCUCUCCCUUGGCUUUUAUAAUCUCCCUCUCUCUCUGUCUCUCUCGUUCUCACUCUCUCUGACUUAAAUGUUGAUCUCCCCGAUGGUAGUGUCUCAGGCUCUUCUUCCCUGGUUGGAUAAAUUUACCAACUUUCUAGAUUUCAUUUUUCCAAAACUGAACUAGUCAUCCUGCUCUCUAAACCCUCUAUGUCCUUCUCAACUUGAGGGACCAGAAGUCACUUUAUCACCAAUAUCAGAAACCUUAACCCCAUUCUUGAAUUCACCAUUUCUUUCACCUUCAUUAUAACUGGUCAUUGCAUCAUAUCAGUUCCCCCUCUGUAAUGUCACACUCGUUAUCAGGCAGAUCUGAUCUGGUCAUCACCACCAACCACCUCUGAGACACCUCACUGAAAAUUUUUAGAGGUUCCAGAGCACCGACAAGAUACCAGUGCAGCUCUUCACCAUGGACCUCAAAGCCUUCUGAAAGCCAUCCCUUACAUACUGCACUGAUCUCACCUCCAGCCACUCUCCGCUGUUGCGCUCUGUAUUUUUGUCAGAACAAGUGCCUGUGGUCUCCAGAAUAUCUCAUGCGGGUACUCACCCAGGGACUUUGCACAUACUUCUCCUUCUGCUAAAUUCUCUUACUACUCUGCUCCCCAUGUCAGCUGACUCGAGUCUACACAUGCUUCAGACUCAGCUCCGGUGUCUUCUCCACAAAAAGUCUUUCUCGGUGGCCCAGUCUUUGGUGGUCUAGCCCACUAUCUGGAAUAUAGCAAAACUUUUCAAUGUUUUUGAAAGUUCAAUGAUCUGCUUCAAUGAUUUUCUCUUUUAUUUUAUUUUUUAAAAUUUUAUUUAUUAUUAUUUGGGGGGGGGCUGCAUUGGGUCUU